GCGAGCGUAACUCAGUUGGUAGAGUGCCAGCUUCCCAAGCUGAAUGUCGCGGGUUCGAGACCCGUCGCUCGCU
rnacentral:tRNA from 2 species